rnacentral:lncRNA from 1 species
GAUCACCAAUUAGAUAGUAAGUUACUUGUUGUAGUGUAGGAAUACUCACAAUAAGUUUAGAACACGGUAAAAUCAACACAUGGGCAAUAGGUAUUAAGAAUAAUCUCUAUGGCAUGUGCAAUCGAGUGUGAUAAAUUCUGUGAAUCAAUGCAUGUUUUUCAUAUGAAUUCGGACUAGGAAUAGGAUCGGGUCGUGUUAAACAUAUGUUUAAUAUAUCUUGGAAAAGAAUAUUGAACAAAAGUGGAUUAUCGAUUAUCUUGAAUGCAUGAAAUUAUCUCAAUUACGAAUUAAGAAUUGGAAUAAAUGGCAAUAGGGGGAUUCGAGAUUCCAAUACACUCAUUCACAUAUCAGUUUACUACAUUUUAAUCGCUUUCUUAGAUUAGGAUUAGUAUAGAAAAAUAUUAAACUCUCUUUUGUGUUACGAUAAUAGCGAAUUUGAUAAAAACUAUCGAACUAGAUUUUAAACCUUAUUCCUCGUGGGACGAUAAACCCUUAACUCACUUAUUAUUACUUGUCAACGAUCUCGUACGCUUGCGGGUUUCACACGAACA